rnacentral:rRNA from 1 species
GCCGGAAUUGCUAGUAAUGGCAGGUCAGCAUACUGCCGUGAAUACGUUCCCGGGCCUUGUACACACCGCCCGUCACACCAUGAGAGUUGGGAAUACCCGAAGCCUGUGAGCUAACGAAAGAGGCAGCAGUCGAAGGUAGAAUCAAUGAUUGGGGUGAAGUCGUAACAAGGUAGC